rnacentral:rRNA from 1 species
GAGUUUGAUCAUGGCUCAGAUCGAACGCUGGCGGCAGGCCUAACACAUGCAAGUCGAGCGGUAGAGAGAAGCUUGCUUCUCUUGAGAGCGGCGGACGGGUGAGUAAUGCCUAGGAAUCUGCCUGGUAGUGGGGGAUAACGCUCGGAAACGGACGCUAAUACCGCAUACGUCCUACGGGAGAAAGCAGGGGGACCUUCGGGCCUUGCGCUAUCAGAUGAGCCUAGGUCGGAUUAGCUAGUUGGUGAGGUAAUGGCUCACCAAGGCGACGAUCCGUAACUGGUCUGAGAGGAUGAUCAGUCACACUGGAACUGAGACACGGUCCAGGACUUCCUACGGGAGGCAGCAGUGGGGGAAUAUUGGACAAUGGGCGAAAGCCUGAUCCAGCCAUGCCGCGUGUGUGAAGAAGGUCUUCGGAUUGUAAAGCACUUUAAGUUGGGAGGAAGGGCAGUAAAUUAAUACUUUGCUGUUUUGACGUUACCGACAGAAUAAGCACCGGCUAACUCUAGUGCCAG